ACCGUGAAAACCACCGAGAGGCACAGGCACAGCACACGGACACAACAUUGACUCUGGGGAGGUAGUUCUCGCCUCAAUUCGCUCAUGCAAAGGGCCUGGAACCCACCGGAGGGGCGUGGCGAACAUUCCCCCGGAAGCUCUGGGUUUCUUUCAGGGACAUCGAGCGAGGCAGGUGUUCCACCCCACUUUCUUGUUUGAGGGGAGAAGGAAACCAAAGCCAGUAGAAAUGGAAUUUAUGGCCUCCGUGCUCUCAGAGGGAGAAAAAAAUUCUCACUCAUCAGCCUAAAGAGAAACCCUGUCUUAUCCCAGAUUACCACCAUGGGAUUUAAAAUUCAGUGAGAAGACUGCUUGGGAAAUACUGUCUCCGAACUGCCGGUACAGACACUGCCCAUUGGUACAAUAUUUUUAGGUCAUCUGUCAAUUGCCAUGUUUGCAUUUCUUUCAUGCAAUACAAGUUGAAAUCAUAAUGAAUUUCUUGAGUUUCAGGAAUAUCUCAAAAUAAACUUCUUCAUCCUCAACAAAUGAUUAAAUUAUGUUCAGUUGGAUCUUAA
ensembl:lncRNA POU6F2-AS1 POU6F2 antisense RNA 1